CGGAGAAAAUGAAAAUAAUUCAUUUGGUAGCAACGAGCGGAAUUGGAGUGGAGAAAACGAAAAUGUACAAACCGGCAGUGACGAGCGGAAUUGGAGUGGAGAAGACGAA